rnacentral:misc_RNA from 1 species
GAUGAAGAACGUAGCGAAAUGCGAUAAGUAAUGUGAAUUGCAGAAUUCAGUGAAUCAUCGAAUCUUUGAACGCACAUGGCGCCCGCCAGUAUUCUGGCGAGCAUGCCUGUUCGAGCGUCAUUUCAACCAUCAAGCCCCAGGCUUGUGUUGGAGCCCUGCGGCUGCCGCAGCCUCCCAAAACCAGUGGCGGGCUCGCUAUCACACCGAGUGCAGUAGUUUACUCUUCGCUCAGGGCGUGUGGCGGGUGCUAGCCGUGAAACCCCCAACUUCUCAAGGUUGACCUCGGAUCAGGUAGGAAUACCCGCUGAACUUAAGCAUAUCAAUAAGCGGAGGA